GUGUCCGUAGUUCAGUUGGUUAGAAUGCCAGAUUGUGACUCUGGAGGUCGUGGGUUCAAAUCCCAUCGGACACCCCA
rnacentral:tRNA from 1 species